ensembl:lncRNA
AGGGGAGCUCAGCUGCAUGCAAUACACCUGAGUGGCCAGAAGGGGUAGAGCCAGGAUCCCGCCCUUCCCAGACCUCAUUUAAGGGUUGAGCAGUGGAGGGAAGGGUAUCUCACAGGAGAUCCCUGCCUACUGGAGGCCUUCCAAAGGUAAAUGAGACCCAGUUGGAUCCUACAUGCCUAAAUAGUAGCUUAUCACCACAGAGAGAUGAAUAAAGAUAGAUAUGAGAAAUCUGCCCUCAUGAAAGUCUGCUUGCUCUACUGAGAGAGAAAGGUCCUGUGUUAGUGUAUUACUGCCAGCAUCUUUCAGGAAGCAUUUGCAGCAAAUUCAGCAGUCCAGCAGAGCAGCCUCCAGG